CCAGAUAUUUAUGGCUACAGCAGGAUCACCUGACAUUCAGGAUGGUUUCUGUUGUUUUUCAAUCAGCUAUUGAAUUAAUCCAGAGUAUGCAUGUACAUGCAGGCUGCUAGGCUGCAGCAGUCCCAGAGGAUGUGGUGUUUUGGCAGGACCAAGCCUGUGGCAGACGGAAAUGUCCCUGGAGCAGGGAAAAUGGCAUUGGCAGUACUCUGCCUCCCUGUGGCACUGCCUCUGUGAUGUCACUUUCUAUUGUAAUGUCAUAGGGCACCUCCAUGCUCACCUCAUCGUAGCAUGCCACAAGUGGGUGCAGGAGCAGACAGGCUGGUGGCGGUACUGAGGAUAGCAGCCACUUUCUGGAGCGCUUGAUCUUCAGGCUCAGCCGCUCUCUCAUUAGUUCGUCAUGUGAAUGGUGAAUAAACUACAGAUGAG
rnacentral:lncRNA from 1 species